GGUCGGCAACGACCACCCAGGGCCGGAAAGUUGGUCAAACCCGGUCAUUUAGAGGAAGUAAAAGUCGUAACAAGGUCUCCGUAGGUGAACCUGCGGAGGGAUCAUU
rnacentral:rRNA from 1 species